AACGAACGCUGGCGGCAGGCUUAACACAUGCAAGUCGAACGCCCCGCAAGGGGAGUGGCAGACGGGUGAGUAACGCGUGGGAAUCCACCCAGAACUUCGGAACAACUGAGGGAAACUUCAGCUAAUACCGGAUACGCCCUACGGGGGAAAGAUUUAUCGGUUUUGGAUGAGCCCGCGUUGGAUUAGCUAGUUGGUGAGGUAAUGGCUCACCAAGGCGACGAUCCAUAGCUGGUCCGAGAGGAUGAUCAGCCACACUGGGACUGAGACACGGCCCAGACUCCUACGGGAGGCAGCAGUGGGGAAUAUUGGACAAUGGGCGAAAGCCUGAUCCAGCCAUGCCGCGUGAGUGAUGAAGGCCUUAGGGUUGUAAAGCUCCUUCAGUGGGGAAGAUAAUGACGGUACCCACAGAAGAAGCCCCGGCUAACUUCGUGCCAGCAGCCGCCGUAA
rnacentral:rRNA from 1 species